rnacentral:rRNA from 1 species
ACAGCAGUAGCCACGGUAAUACGUAGGUGGCAAGCGUUGUCCGGAAUUAUUGGGCGUAAAGCGCGCGCAGGCGGUUUCUUAAGUCUGAUGUGAAAGCCCCCGGCUUAACCGGGGAGGGUCAUUGGAAACUGGGAGACUUAGAGUGCAGAAGAGGAGAGUGGAAUUCCAUGUGUAGCGGUGAAAUGCGUAGAUAUAUGGAGGAACACCAGUGGCGAAGGCGACUCUCUGGUCUGUAACUGACGCUGAGGCGCGAAAGCGUGGGGAGCAAACAGGAUUAGAUACCCCGGUAGUCCCUGUCUCUUAUA